UGGGGAAUUUUGGACAAUGGGGGGAAACCCUGAUCCAGCCAUCCCGCGUGUGCGAUGAAGGCCUUCGGGUUGUAAAGCACUUUUGGCAGGAAAGAAACGUCGCGGGUUAAUACCCCGCGAAACUGACGGUACCUGCAGAAUAAGCACCGGCUAACUACGUGCCAGCAGCCGCGGUAAUACGUAGGGUGCAAGCGUUAAUCGGAAUUACUGGGCGUAAAGCGUGCGCAGGCGGUUCGGAAAGAAAGAUGUGAAAUCCCAGAGCUUAACUUUGGAACUGCAUUUUUAACUACCGGGCUAGAGUGUGUCAGAGGGAGGUGGAAUUCCGCGUGUAGCAGUGAAAUGCGUAGAUAUGCGGAGGAACACCGAUGGCGAAGGCAGCCUCCUGGGAUAACACUGACGCUCAUGCACGAAAGCGUGGGGAGCAAACAGGAUUAGAUACCCUGGUAGUCCACGCCCUAAACGAUGUCAACUAGCUGUUGGGGCCUUCGGGCCUUGGUAGCGCAGCUAACGCGUGAAGUUGACCGCCU
rnacentral:rRNA from 1 species